UGCAAUAUGAAGUAUAAAUACUCGAAGAUAUAUUAAGAAUUGAUUAGUUUUUUUUUGUGCAUCGUACGACCUGCAUAAUUGAUUUUACUUCCCAAGAAAAACGGUGACAAAAUAUUGUCAAGAUGAAGUUCAUUAUUUUAAUUAUUUCCAUUGUGAUUGCUAUGGCUAUAGUUCCUUCUCAAGGAUGUCGUUAUUUGUGGGGGGGCUGUUCCCAGGAUAGUGAUUGCUGUGAUCACUUGUAUUGUAAUACUAUAACCACUAAAGUGUGUGAAUGGGAUUUCACAUUUGG